UAGGGAAUCUUCCGCAAUGGACGAAAGUCUGACGGAGCAACGCCGCGUGAGUGAUGAAGGUUUUCGGAUCGUAAAACUCUGUUAUUAGGGAAGAACAAAUGCGUAAGUAACUGUGCGCAUCUUGACGGUACCUAAUCAGAAAGCCACGGCUAACUACGUGCCAGCAGCCGCGGUAAUACGUAGGUGGCAAGCGUUAUCCGGAAUUAUUGGGCGUAAAGCGCGCGUAGGCGGUUUCUUAAGUCUGAUGUGAAAGCCCACGGCUGAACCGUGGAGGGUCAUUGGAAACUGGGAAACUUGAGUACAGAAGAGGAAAGUGGAAUUCCAUGUGUAGCGGUGAAAUGCGCAGAGAUAUGGAGGAACACCAGUGGCGAAGGCGACUUUCUGGUCUGUAACUGACGCUGAUGUGCGAAAGCGUGGGGAUCAAACA
rnacentral:rRNA from 1 species